UGCCACUAGAGGGUGCGAUACCACCACUAUCAAAACCAUAGAAGAAGGAGAGUCAGUCACAUGAUCAAAAAAAUUCACUCAAAAAUUAAGUGGUAAGGAAAAUGCACAGCAUGGGAGCAUUUUUAUACUUGGUAGUUCACUUAAUGAGACCAACAUCAAAGGACUGAGCCUGGAAAAAAAUAAACAUAAUGCCACAAAUAUGUAUAUUUAGGGGAUAUGUCUUAGAUGAAUGGCACAACUAACUGGAAUACCAGAAUGAAUACAGACUUUCAUAAUACUGACUUCAGUUAAAGAAAAAGGUAAAUUGCUGCUAAAUGUUAGCAUUUCUUAUCUGAUAACAGCACAUAAGGCGUCUGUAAGUUAACGUAAAGAAGUUGUCACUCCCCCCUCAGAGUCUUACUCCACCCACAUAUCAAUUUUAAAAACUGCAACAUUAGUAGGCAUUGCCUGGAGGACCAAGAGGGCGGAGCCGUGGCAGUGAUGAAGACGACGGCUAACUAGACGAUGCUAGCUCCCUUCACUCUGAGCAGUCAUUAGAAGUGGAGGACGUUUCUCCCCCUCCUUACACAGACACUCGAGAAGAAAGGGACCAAGUCUAUUUGGAGGAGACAAGCGGACCUGAGCCUUAUUAUUGUUUUGAGCUUGUGAGUUGCCUGAAACUACAGGAACCGACCCAACAGAACCAUCUCUGAAUGUCCUCUGGUGUCUGCAGGUGGUCUCCUCUGCUGGUGUCGUCAGGAUCAGGAGCUUCCAGAAGAAUGUGCCUUUCAAUGACUCUUUCCCCCUUAUUUGUUAUAUUAAAUAAAUCUCAAUUGAUA